rnacentral:rRNA from 1 species
CCGCGCGAAGUUGUGCACGCACAGCACCAGGUCGUCCUCGUACUCCCGCAGGAAGGCAAGUACGGCGGGGUUGGAGGAGGGCAGUUCCGUGUAGGUGCCGAGGCCGAAGGCGGGGUUCUGCUUGCGGAUCUCGAUCAUGCGGCGGGUCCAGUGCAGCAGGGACGAGGGCGAGGCCAUGGACGCCUCGACGUUCGUCACCUGGUAGCCGUAGACCGGGUCCAUGAUGGUCGGCAGGUACAGGCGUCCCGGAUCACAGGUCGAGAAGCCGGCGUUGCGGUCCGGGGUCCACUGCAUCGGGGUGCGGACCGCGUCGCGGUCGCCGAGCCAGAUGUUGUCGCCCAUGCCGAUCUCGUCGCCGUAGUAGAGGAUCGGCGAGCCGGGCAGGGAGAGCAGCAGGGCGGUGAACAGCUCGAUCUGGUCGCGGUCGUUGUCCAGCAGGGUGGCGAGCCUGCGGCGGAUGCCGAUGUUGGCGCGCAUGCGCGGGUCCUUGGCGUACUCCGCGUACAUGUAGUCGCGUUCCUCGUCGGUGACCAUCUCGAGGGUCAGCUCGUCGUGGUUGCGCAGGAAGAUGCCCCACUGGCAGCCGGACGGGAUGGCCGGGGUCUUGGCGAGGAUCUCCGAGACGGGGUAGCGGGACUCGCGGCGGACGGCCAUGAAGAUGCGGGGCAUGACCGGGAAGUGGAAGGCCAUGUGGCACUCGUCGCCGCCGGAGGCGUAGUCGCCGAAGUAGUCGACGACGUCCUCCGGCCACUGGUUGGCCUCCGCCAGGAGCACGGUGUCGGGGUAGUGCGCGUCGAUCUCGCUGCGGACCCGCUUGAGGAACGCGUGACUGGCGGGCAGGUUCUCGCAGUUGGUGCCCUCUUCGGCGUACAGGUAGGGCACGGCGUCGAGCCGGUAGCCGUCCACGCCGAGGUCCAGCCAGAACUUCAGCGCGGCCAGCAUCUCCUCCUGGACGGCCGGGUUCUCGUAGUUCAGGUCGGGCUGGUGGGAGAAGAACCGGUGCCAGAAGUACUGGCCGCGGACCGGGUCGUAGGUCCAGUUGGACGCCUCGGUGUCGACGAAGAUGAUGCGGGCGUCGGCGUAGCGGGUGUCGUCGUCGGCCCAGACGUAGUAGUCGCCGUAGGGGCCGUCCGGGUUCUUGCGGGACUCCUGGAACCACGGGUGCUGGUCGCUGGUGUGGUUCAUGACGAAGUCGAUGAUCACGCGCAUGCCGCGCUGGUGGGCGGCGUCCACGAACUCGACGAAGUCGGCCAGGUCGCCGAACUCGGGCAGUACGGCGGUGUAGUCGGAGACGUCGUAGCCGCCGUCGCGCAGGGGCGACUUGAAGAAGGGCGGCAGCCACAGGCAGUCCACGCCCAGCCAUUGCAGGUAGUCCAGCUUGGCGGUCAGGCCCUUGAGGUCGCCGAUGCCGUCGCCGUUGCUGUCCUGGAAGGAGCGGACGAGAACCUCGUAGAAGACGGCUCGCUUGAACCAGUCCGGGUCGCGGUCCUUGGCCGGGGUGUCCUCGAACUUGUCCGGCACGGGCUCGUUCACGGUCAUGAGGCUGCGGACCCUUCGUUCCGGGGGGCGGCGGAGGACGGCCGGCGGAUGUGGAGGACGUGGGCGGGGGCCCGGCCGGGCUCCAGCCGCACGUAGUUCGUGCGGCCCCAGUGGUAGGUCUCGUCCGUGAGUUCGUCGUGGACCGGCACCGACUCGUGCCAGUCCAGGCCGAGUUGCGGCAUGUCGAGCGAGACCGUGGCCUCCUGGGUGCGGUGGGGGUCGAGGUUCGCCACCACGAGCACGGCGUCCGACCCCUCGCGCUUGCUGUACGCGAUGAGCGCGUCGUUGUCGGUGUGGUGGAAGCGGAGGUUCCUGAGCCGGUGCAGCGCGGGAUGGGCACGGCGGAUGGUGUUGAGGCGGGUGAUGAGGGGGGCGAUGGUGGUGCCCUCGCGGGUGGCGGUGGCCCAGUCGCGGGGUUUGAGCUGGUACUUCUCGCUGUCGAGGUAUUCCUCGCUGCCUUCGCGCAGGGGGGUGUUCUCGCAGAGUUCGUAGCCGCUGUAGAUGCCCCAGGUGGGGGAGAGGGUGGCGGCGAGGACGGCGCGGACCUCGAAGGCGGGGCGGCCGCCGUGCUGGAGGUAGGCGUGCAGGAUGUCGGGGGUGUUGGCGAAGAGGUUGGGCCGCAUGUAGGAGGCGGCGUCCCCCGACAGUUCGGUGAGGUACUCGGUCAGUUCCCGCUUGGUGUUGCGCCAGGUGAAGUAGGUGUAGGACUGCUGGAAGCCGAUCUGGGCGAGGGUGUGCAUCAUCGCGGGGCGGGUGAAGGCCUCGGCGAGGAAGAUGACGUCGGGGUCGGCGUGGUUGAUCUCGCCGAUGACCCUCUCCCAGAACACGACGGGUUUGGUGUGGGGGUUGUCGACGCGGAAGAUCCGCACGCCGUGGCUCAUCCAGAAGCGGAGUACCCGUACGGUCUCGGCGACGAUUCCGUCCAUGUCGGCGUCGAAGGCGAUGGGGUAGAUGUCCUGGUACUUCUUGGGCGGGUUCUCGGCGUGGGCGAUGGUGCCGUCGGGGCGGUGGUGGAACCAGUCGGGGUGUUUGUGGACCCAGGGGUGGUCGGGGGAGCACUGGAGGGCGAAGUCGAGGGCGACUUCCAUGCCCAGCCGUCCGGCCUCGGUGACGAAGCGGUCGAAGUCGUCGAGGGUGCCGAGGUCGGGGUGGACGGCGUCGUGGCCGCCUUCGGGGGAGCCGAUGGCCCAGGGGACGCCGACGUCGUCGGGGGUGGCGGAGAGGGUGUUGUUGCGGCCCUUGCGGUGGGUGGUGCCGAUGGGGUGGACGGGUGGGAGGUAGACGACGUCGAAGCCCAUGGCGGCGAUCGCCGCAAGGCGGCGGGCGGCGGUGCGGAAGGUGCCGUGGGGCCGGGCGGGGGUGCCCUCGGAGCGGGGGAAGAACUCGUACCAGGCGCCGUACAGGGCGCGUUCGCGUUCCACGAGCAGGGGCAGCGGGUCGGAGGUGGUGACCAGUUCCCGCAGCGGGUGCCGGGCCAGCACCGCGUCCACCUCGGGCGUCAACGCCGCCGCCAACCGGGUGGCCACGGGGAGCGUGUCGUCGAGCAGCAUCUCGGCGGCGGCCAGCACCACGGCACGGCCGUCGUCCCUGGGUACCCCCGCGGCGG